rnacentral:rRNA from 1 species
UACGUAGGGUGCGAGCGUUGUCCGGAAUUAUUGGGCGUAAAGAGCUCGUAGGCGGUGUGUCACGUCGGCCGUGAAAACCUGCAGCUUAACUGUGGGCGUGCGGUCGAUACGGGCAUCACUGGAGUUCGGCAGGGGAGACUGGAAUUCCUGGUGUAGCGGUGAAAUGCGCAGAUAUCAGGAGGAACACCGGUGGCGAAGGCGGGUCUCUGGGCCGUAACUGACGCUGAGACACGAAAGCGUGGGUAGCAAACAGG